UUUAUUAAAAUUAAUGUAGGACCUACACUUUGGAAAUACAACUCACAUAAAGUGGUGGGACAUACAUUAAUUUCACUCAA
rnacentral:pre_miRNA from 1 species